CGGCAAUCUUGAGAUGGCAGAGAUGGUCGCCAAAGCAGGCGUCGAUGUCAAUGCUAAAUCGCAUGGGUGUUAGAGUUAUAUAGCAUUCCAUGGACCAGCUACCCUUGAGAAGGAGCUCAUCACUCACUUUCUGAUCAACACAUACAGUAAAUGACAUGUAACUGCUUAAUUCGCUUGUGUCUUCCUGAAAUAAUUUCUUCCCUCACCAAAGAAAUUUGUUGUUUACCAUAAUCUCAAUUUAACACCUAUUCCUAGUGUUCAAAAGUAACUGUCUGAGUCUGAAUAGAUUUUGCAAAGCAGAAAUAAAUGCCAGGAAAAACUAGCACGUCUUGUCUUCUUUUCUUGAAAGUUGGAAAAAGGCUUUGGGUUUUGUAUCAAAG